ACACCCAGAAUGUGUUUAGUAUGUUGCUUCCAGGUGCAUUAAAAAAGAGUACACCCAGAAUGUGUUUAGUUUGUUACUUCCAGGUGCAUUCCAGAUAUAUGCUUCCAGAAGCAUGCAACGGGUGCAUUCUUUUUUGUCCCGCACCCGUGUAAA